AAUGUAUAAUACAUAAAUGGUGAAUCUGAAUGUUGUCAUGGGUUAUUCGAAUGUUUAAUAAUACAUAUGAUUUCUACAAGUUUCUCACGAGCUACGAAUUUUUAUGUUUUCGACAUAGUUGAUACGGUUCUAUUUCAUGUUUUAUUUAUGAUAAUUUAAUUUAUCUUACGAUUGGCAAAGUUAUAAAAUUAUAAAUAAUGGCUGAAAAGGAAGGUGAUAGUUCCACGAGUGAAGUUGUGAAAACUGAAGAUUUAACUGAUAACACAGCUAAUGAAGAAGCACCGACAAGUUUGGAAAAUAUAGCACAAGAUACUAAUACUACUCGAAAUGGUGGUCCUCCAGUUGCUUCAAAGGACAAAGAAAAAAUUGAUAUCUUAUUAAAAGCAACUGGCAACGCACCUAUCAUGAAACAGAAAAAAUGGUCUGUUUGUCAGGAUAAUCAAAUAGGAAGAAUUUCAGAUUUUAUGAAGAAGUAUCUUAAAUUAGAAUCCUCUGAGAGAUUAUUUCUUUACGUAAAUCAAACUUUUGCACCAGCACCAGAUCAAACAGUAAAAAACUUAUAUGAUUGUUAUGGUGCGGAUGGAAAAUUGAUCAUUCAUUAUUGCAAAAGUCCAGCAUGGGGCUAACUGUGACCUUUCUUUGAUGCUUAAGCAUCGUAUGGUGUCCUUUUAUUAACGAGACGCACGGCGUUGGCUAGAUGAAGCGGAGUUCGCCGUUUCAGUUGGGUUUCCCGAGCUACGUUUUGAAUUAAGCAAUGAUUUCGUUUCCAUAUUUUUCGCGCAAGGACAAUCACCCAAAGGUUCUUCAGUUCGAUUUUGUUCGUUUAAAGUUUUUACCUGCAAUAUGGAAUACUUGUUAAGUCGUACAUCGACGAAACAAUCGCUAUGCUUAGAUAAAAUCAAAUUCGACGUUUUGAUAGAAUCAAUAGCUUUUUGUACCAACCGACGUUGUAUCCUUAUCUUUGACGCAGGAGCAAAUUGGUGAAGGUAUACCAGCUGGAUCGCGUGUACAUGGCUGUAGCUGAUCAUCGCCUGUGAAAUAUUUAAUUUGAUAGAAUUAUUUAUUCGCAAGAGUACGUUGAAUUUAAAUCGAGUUUAAAUUGUAUUUGUUGAUUUUUUCUAAUACCAUGGUAUGUAGUCCUAACACUUUCAGCAGUCUCAUCCACCUGGUUCAUACCAGCGACAUGCUCUCCUAAAUCAUCCAGCUUUAAAUCGUCGCAUUUCACUUCAGGUUCCUCUGGCUUAACAGCUGUACGCGCUGUCACUGAUUUUGAUUUGAUGGAUGGUGUCUUCACACGCGCCAUUAUAAAUGGGGACUUCCAAAUGAUGAUAGCGCCAUCGGCGCUCACCGAUACCACAUGUUCGCCAUUAGAGCUAAAUUUACACGAUGUUAUUAUCGCGGCAUGACCUAUGCCAAUAUGUGUGACAUUGGCCGUGUGAUAUUCCCAGAGCUUAACAAUGCAAUCGUUUGAGCCGGUGACGAAGUAUUGUCCAUCAGGGCUAAUAUCUAUGCAAUUCAAUGAUCCUGAGAUAGAACCCUCGAUUUCACGAACCAACGAAGCAUCCCACGUUUCCCAAUAGGCAAUCUUACGAUCUGUACCGCAAGUCAAGAUUUGUAUGCUAUUAGGACUGAAACACGCGGCCAUAUACAUCGUGUUACCCAUUAAAACUUGCUUCCUCGCGCAACGUCUGUUGAUUAACGAUUGUCCAUCAAUUUGUCACAUUCCAAAAAAUGUAAUAUUAUAAAUAGUUAAUCAACACUUACAUUACGUCCCAUAUUAUGCACGUACCGUCCGUGCUCGAACUAACCAAAUCCUCGUUAUUAGAGGAUAUACACAAUGAUGUUAUGGGUCCUCUAUGUUCUUUAAGAAUUGAGACGAGUCGUUGUACGUCGGGUUUUAUGUCCCAUAUACGUACCUACGAAUGAUGACAUAUUGAUCAUAUCGAAAAUUUUAAAGAAGAAGGAUGAGGAUGAAACAAGAGAAUGAUGAAUGUAUAAAAUAUAAAUUACCUGUCCAUCGCAGCCUCCGCUGAUUAAUCUUUUCCCGUCUGCCGUUAUCACGACUGCCGAUGCAGCUUUUAUGUGAGCAUUAUGGAUAGUGAAGAUAAGUUUACCCUUUUGUGGCGUGAAUGCUCUUACGAUACCGUCAUUCCAUGCUGCAAUGUUCAAUAAAUAGAAGAAAAUUAUUGUUAAUUAAA